CACGUAGGGCGCAAGCGUUGUCCGGAAUUAUUGGGCGUAAAGAGCUCGUAGGCGGUCUGUUGCGUCCGCUGUGAAAACUCGGGGCUUAACCCCGGGCCUGCAGUGGGUACGGGCAGACUAGAGUGCGGUAGGGGAGACUGGAAUUCCUGGUGUAGCGGUGAAAUGCGCAGAUAUCAGGAGGAACACCUGCGGCGAAGGCGGGUUGCUGGGCUGACACUGACGCUGAACUGCGAAAGCUAGGGGAGCGAACGGG
rnacentral:rRNA from 1 species